UACGUAGGGCGCAAGCGUUGUCCGGAAUUAUUGGGCGUAAAGAGCUCGUAGGCGGUCUGUUGCGUCCGCUGUGAAAACUCGGGGCUUAACCCCGAGCCUGCAGUGGAUACGGGCAGACUAGAGGUAGGUAGGGGAGAAUGGAAUUCCCGGUGUAGCGGUGAAAUGCGCAGAUAUCGGGAAGAACACCCGUGGCGAAGGCGGUUCUCUGGGACGGUACUGACGCUGAGACGCGAAGGCGUGGGGAGCGAACAGG
rnacentral:rRNA from 1 species